rnacentral:rRNA from 1 species
GAUGAACGCUGGCGGCGUGCCUAAUACAUGCAAGUCGAGCGAACAGACGAGGAGCUUGCUCCUCUGACGUUAGCGGCGGACGGGUGAGUAGCACGUGGAUAACCUAUCUAUAAGACUGGGAUAACUUCGGGAAACCGGAGCUAAUACCGGAUAAUAUAUUGAACCGCAUGGUUCAAUAGUGAAAGACGGUUUUGCUGUCACUUAUAGAUGGAUCCGCGCCGCAUUAGCUAGUUGGUAAGGUAACGGCUUACCAAGGCAACGAUGCGUAGCCGACCUGAGAGGGUGAUCGGCCACACUGGAACUGAGACACGGUCCAGACUCCUACGGGAGGCAGCAGUAGGGAAUCUUCCGCAGUGGGCGAAAGCCUGACGGAGCAACGCCGCGUGAGUGAUGAAGGUCUUCGGAUCGUAAAACUCUGUUAUUAGGGAAGAACAAAUGUGUAAGUAACUAUGCACGUCUUGACGGUACCUAAUCAGAAAGCCACGGCUAACUACGUG